rnacentral:rRNA from 1 species
GGUUAAGCGACUAAGCGUACACGGUGGAUGCCCUGGCAGUCAGAGGCGAUGAAGGACGUGCUAAUCUGCGAAAAGCGUCGGUAAGGUGAUAUGAACCGUUAUAACCGGCGAUGUCCGAAUGGGGAAACCCAGUGCAAUUCGUUGCACUAUCGUUAACUGAAUACAUAGGUUAACGAGGCGAACCGGGGGAACUGAAACAUCUAAGUACCCCGAGGAAAAGAAAUCAACCGAGAUUCCCCCAGUAGCGGCGAGCGAACGGGGAGCAGCCCAGAGUCUGAAUCAGCUUGUGUGUUAGUGGAACGGUCUGGAAAGUCCGACGGUACAGGGUGAUAGUCCCGUACACCAAAAUGCACAGGCUGUGAACUCGAAGAGUAGGGCGGGACACGUGGUAUCCUGUCUGAAUAUGGGGGGACCAUCCUCCAAGGCUAAAUACUCCUGACUGACCGAUAGUGAACCAGUACCGUGAGGGAAAGGCGAAAAGAACCCCGGCGAGGGGAGUGAAAAAGAACCUGAAACCGUGUACGUACAAGCAGUGGGAGCACCUUCGGGUGUGACUGCGUACCUUUUGUAUAAUGGGUCAGCGACUUAUAUUCUGUAGCAAGGUUAACCGUAUAGGGGAGCCGCAGGGAAACCGAGUCUUAACUGGGCGUUAAGUUGCAGGGUAUAGACCCGAAACCCGGUGAUCUAGCCAUGGGCAGGUUGAAGGUUGGGUAACACUAACUGGAGGACCGAACCGACUAAUGUUGAAAAAUUAGCGGAUGACUUGUGGCUGGGGGUGAAAGGCCAAUCAAACCGGGAGAUAGCUGGUUCUCCCCGAAAGCUAUUUAGGUAGCGCCUCGUGAACUCAUCUUCGGGGGUAGAGCACUGUUUCGGCUAGGGGGUCAUCCCGACUUACCAACCCGAUGCAAACUACGAAUACCGAAGAAUGUUAUCACGGGAGACACACGGCGGGUGCUAACGUCCGUCGUGAAGAGGGAAACAACCCAGACCGCCAGCUAAGGUCCCAAAGUCAUGGUUAAGUGGGAAACGAUGUGGGAAGGCACAGACAGCCAGGAUGUUGGCUUAGAAGCAGCCAUCAUUUAAAGAAAGCGUAAUAGCUCACUGGUCGAGUCGGCCUGCGCGGAAGAUGUAACGGGGCUAAACCAUGCACCGAAGCUGCGGCAGCGACACUAUGUGUUGUUGGGUAGGGGAGCGUUCUGUAAGCCUGCGAAGGUGACCUGUGAGGGUUGCUGGAGGUAUCAGAAGUGCGAAUGCUGACAUAAGUAACGAUAAAGCGGGUGAAAAGCCCGCUCGCCGGAAGACCAAGGGUUCCUGUCCAACGUUAAUCGGGGCAGGGUGAGUCGACCCCUAAGGCGAGGCCGAAAGGCGUAGUCGAUGGGAAACAGGUUAAUAUUCCUGUACUUGGUGUUACUGCGAAGGGGGGACGGAGAAGGCUAUGUUAGCCGGGCGACGGUUGUCCCGGUUUAAGCAUGUAGGCUGAUUGUCCAGGCAAAUCCGGAUAAUCAAGGCUGAGGUGUGAUGACGAGGCACUACGGUGCUGAAGUAACAAAUGCCCUGCUUCCAGGAAAAGCCUCUAAGCAUCAGGUAACAUCAAAUCGUACCCCAAACCGACACAGGUGGUCAGGUAGAGAAUACCAAGGCGCUUGAGAGAACUCGGGUGAAGGAACUAGGCAAAAUGGUGCCGUAACUUCGGGAGAAGGCACGCUGGUGUGUAGGUGAAGUCCCUGCGGAUGGAGCUGAGACCAGUCGAAGAUACCAGCUGGCUGCAACUGUUUAUUAAAAACACAGCACUGUGCAAACACGAAAGUGGACGUAUACGGUGUGACGCCUGCCCGGUGCCGGAAGGUUAAUUGAUGGGGUUAUCCGUAAGGAGAAGCUCUUGAUCGAAGCCCCGGUAAACGGCGGCCGUAACUAUAACGGUCCUAAGGUAGCGAAAUUCCUUGUCGGGUAAGUUCCGACCUGCACGAAUGGCGUAAUGAUGGCCAGGCUGUCUCCACCCGAGACUCAGUGAAAUUGAACUCGCUGUGAAGAUGCAGUGUACCCGCGGCAAGACGGAAAGACCCCGUGAACCUUUACUAUAGCUUGACACUGAACAUUGAGCCUUGAUGUGUAGGAUAGGUGGGAGGCUUUGAAGCGUGGACGCCAGUCUGCGUGGAGCCAACCUUGAAAUACCACCCUUUAAUGUUUGAUGUUCUAACGUUGGCCCCUUACCGGGGUUGCGGACAGUGUCUGGUGGGUAGUUUGACUGGGGCGGUCUCCUCCCAAAGCGUAACGGAGGAGCACGAAGGUUAGCUAAUCCUGGUCGGACAUCAGGAGGUUAGUGCAAUGGCAUAAGCUAGCUUGACUGCGAGCGUGACGGCGCGAGCAGGUGCGAAAGCAGGUCAUAGUGAUCCGGUGGUUCUGAAUGGAAGGGCCAUCGCUCAACGGAUAAAAGGUACUCCGGGGAUAACAGGCUGAUACCGCCCAAGAGUUCAUAUCGACGGCGGUGUUUGGCACCUCGAUGUCGGCUCAUCACAUCCUGGGGCUGAAGUAGGUCCCAAGGGUAUGGCUGUUCGCCAUUUAAAGUGGUACGCGAGCUGGGUUUAGAACGUCGUGAGACAGUUCGGUCCCUAUCUGCCGUGGGCGCUGGAGAAUUGAGGGGGGCUGCUCCUAGUACGAGAGGACCGGAGUGGACGCAUCACUGGUGUUCGGGUUGUCAUGCCAAUGGCACUGCCCGGUAGCUAAAUGCGGAAGAGAUAAGUGCUGAAAGCAUCUAAGCACGAAACUUGCCCCGAGAUGAGUUCUCCCUGAGACUUUAAGUCUCCUGAAGGAACGUUGAAGACGACGACGUUGAUAGGCCGGGUGUGUAAGCGCAGCGAUGCGUUGAGCUAACCGGUACUAAUGAACCGUGAGGCUUAACCUU